rnacentral:tRNA from 1 species
CGACGCGUAGCUUAAUGGAAAAGCGCCGUACUACGGAUGCGGUUUAUGGGGGUUCGAAUCCCUCCGUGUCGA